rnacentral:rRNA from 1 species
UGGGGAAUAUUGCACAAUGGGCGCAAGCCUGAUGCAGCCAUGCCGCGUGUGUGAAGAAGGCCUUCGGGUUGUAAAGCACUUUCAGCGAGGAGGAAGGUGGUGAGCUUAAUACGCUCAUCAAUUGACGUUACUCGCAGAAGAAGCACCGGCUAACUCCGUGCCAGCAGCCGCGGUAAUACGGAGGGUGCAAGCGUUAAUCGGAAUUACUGGGCGUAAAGCGCACGCAGGCGGUUUGUUAAGUCAGAUGUGAAAUCCCCGGGCUCAACCUGGGAACUGCAUUUGAAACUGGCAAGCUAGAGUCUCGUAGAGGGGGGUAGAAUUCCAGGUGUAGCGGUGAAAUGCGUAGAGAUCUGGAGGAAUACCGGUGGCGAAAGGCGGCCCCCCUGGANGAAGACUGACGCUCAGGUGCGAAAAGCGUGGGGAGCAAACAGAUUAGNUACCCUGGUAGUCCACGCUGUAAACGAUGUCGA